rnacentral:misc_RNA from 1 species
UCGAUGUGCAGGGCGUGUGG